GAGAAUCGGACAAGGUGUAGCAGGACGACAACAAGUGACGUUGGUUUGGGAGUAUUUGUUAAUUUUGUGAAUAAAUGUUAAUUUGUGGGCCUUCCUCCCUCCCCUGUGGAGAUGUUACAACAAAACUUUGGGAGAUUGAACUGCUCUAUAACAGCUGAAAAUGAUAACUGGAGCAUGGAACAAAAGCUUCCACCAGCACUGCCACCACCACUACUAGCACCACCACCUAUGGCAAGAUGAGAACCUUGGGAAAUUGAACAGCACCAUCACAACUGACAAUGAUAACUGCAGGCUGAGACAGCUGUCAUUGUAGAACUUAAUUCCAAUGAACACCAUAACACCACCACCACAGCACUGCCACCACAUAUGGCAAGGUAAACUAAAGGAGUCAUUUGUCUG